rnacentral:rRNA from 1 species
UACGUAGGUGGCAAGCGUUUGUCCGGAUUUAUUGGGUUUAAAGGGUGCGUAGGCGGCCCUGUAAGUCAGUGCUGAAAUAUCCCAGCUUAACUGGGAGGGUGGCAUUGAUACUGCGGGGCUAGAGUACAGAUGAGGUAGGCGGAAUUGACGGUGUAGCGGUGAAAUGCUUAGAUAUCGUCAAGAACACCUAUAGCGAAGGCAGCUUACUAGGCUGUAACUGACGCUGAGGCACGAAAAGUGUGGGGAUCAAACAGG